CCACCCGCAGGCCAAACCCUUGCUCAGAUCCCAUCCCCCCAUCGCACCUUUCCUCCCUCGUCCCCAUCUCCUCGCCACUGUCGCCACCUCCUCCCCGUCCCCGCCCCCUUCCAAUCCAGUCCUCUCCCCGCCGCUUACACCCAUCGCCGACCUCGCCAUCCUCCUCACCCACCAUUCCCCGUUCCACAUACCUCCCCGUUCCCCGUUCCCCUCCAUUUUCUACCUCUCUCGUAGGAUCCAGAUCCAGGGGAGCUCCCUCCCUCUCCCGCGGGAUGCAGAUCUAGGAGUUCAUCCUGCACCCUGCAACCGUCAGUCCGGGUCGAGCUGACCCCGACCCGAUCAGAUCCCUCGUUGCCCGGCCUCCUCAGAUCUCCCCACACGCUCAAAUUCUCGACACAGAGGUCUUGCCGGUGGGGGUCCGCGUCAGGAAGCUUGUUGGCUGCUGCUGCUUCUUGCUUUGGGUGCGCUAUAGCGAACCCGGCCGACGGAGAUGGGAGUGUUAGGGGAGAAGUUCCAUCUGGGGACGGUGGGGGAGCUCAGCCUGUCCGUGGUCUCCUCGGUCUCCAUUGUCAUAUGCAACAAGGCUCUCAUGAGCGCCCUUGGCUUCAUCUUCGAUUCUUCAGCUGUCAGAUGAGGCGGAGAAACUCUUCUUGAAGCACUUAGCAGGCAACAACACGAGGAGUUCUAGACGAAGAAAUUCGAAGAAAGCUCGAAGCCCGAGUUAGCGACUUGCUUUAUAUGUUAUUGAACUUGUAAUGCUAAAUUUGUUGAGAAUUUUUAUGACCUGGUGAACAUGUUAUGCAAGAUGUUAUUUGUUGUUUA